rnacentral:misc_RNA from 1 species
GAUGAAGAACGCAGCGAAAUGCGAUACGUAAUGUGAAUUGCAGAAUUCAGUGAAUCAUCGAAUCUUUGAACGCAUAUUGCGCUCUCUGGUAUUCCGGAGAGCAUGCUUGUUUGAGUAUCAGUAAACACCUCAACUUCCAUAUCUUUUUUGAAAUGGGAGUUGGACUUGAGUGAUCCCAACGCUUUUCCUCACCGAAAAGUGGCGGGUUACUUGAAAUGCAGGUGCAGCUGGACUUUUCUCUGAGCUAUAAGCAUAUCUAUUUAGUCUGCCUAAAAAACAGGUUAUUACCUUUGCUGCAGCUAACAUAAAGGAGAUUAGUUCUUGUGCUGACUGAUGCAGGAUUCACAAAGACGGCUUCGGCCGACUUUGUAAACUCGAUCUCAAAUCAAGUAAGACUACCCGCUGAACUUAAGCAUAUCAAUAAGCGGAGGA